GUAGUGGUGACCACUGGCCAGAUCCUUUGUGCUUUCCAAGCUGUGUAUGCAUGUCUCCACUGUUACUGCACAGUGGCUGGAGCAGGCAUAGAUGCCUUUGUUAGAAUUAGUUCUCUAUUGGAGAAGAUACAGUUAUGCUGUCCUUUUGCUUUUGUAUUGCUGAGUGAUUAAAGGCUUAAACUUUCAGGGCUGGAUUAUGGCUUUACUGUGGAAGACCAAGG